rnacentral:rRNA from 1 species
GGCAGUGCGGCGUGCCUAUACAUGCAGUCGAGCGGACAGAUGGGAGCUUGCUCCCUGAUGUUAGCGGCGGACGGGUGAGUAACACGUGGGUAACCUGCCUGUAAGACUGGGAUAACUCCGGGAAACCGGGGCUAAUACCGGAUGGUUGUUUGAACCGCAUGGUUCAAACAUAAAAGGUGGCUUCGGCUACCACUUACAGAUGGACCCGCGGCGCAUUAGCUAGUUGGUGAGGUAACGGCUCACCAAGGCAACGAUGCGUAGCCGACCUGAGAGGGUGAUCGGCCACACUGGGACUGAGACACGGCCCAGACUCCUACGGGAGGCAGCAGUAGGGAAUCUUCCGCAAUGGACGAAAGUCUGACGGAGCAACGCCGCGUGAGUGAUGAAGGUUUUCGGAUCGUAAAGCUCUGUUGUUAGGGAAGAACAAGUACCGUUCGAAUAGGGCGGUACCUUGACGGUACCUAACCAGAAAGCCACGGCUAACUACGUGCCAGCAGCCGCGGUAAUACGUAGGUGGCAAGCGUUGUCCGGAAUUAUUGGGCGUAAAGGGCUCGCAGGCGGUUUCUUAAGUCUGAUGUGAAAGCCCCCGGCUCAACCGGGGAGGGUCAUUGGAAACUGGGGAACUUGAGUGCAGAAGAGGAGAGUGGAAUUCCACGUGUAGCGGUGAAAUGCGUAGAGAUGUGGAGGAACACCAGUGGCGAAGGCGACUCUCUGGUCUGUAACUGACGCUGAGGACGAAAGCUGGGGGGAAAAAAAAAAAAAAAAAGGGAAA